GUUCCCUGAUGUCAGCUGUGGAAGUUGCUUAUGGUACGCCUGGUCUAGCAGCAGCCUUGCGGGGAGCCAGCUCUGGAGCCAGCACCUGGAGCUGCCCACCCUGCUGCAGCUGGAGUGCCUGGCUGCGCACAGUGGCCGGACCCCAAGCUCGCCCACACCUCUUGCUGCUCCACGCCUGACUUGCCCUUGGCAGGUGUGGGAUCCAGGCCAGUAGUGCGAGCCAAGGGUAACCUUCCAGGCAGAGUGGGCGGAAUGAGCCCAGAGGGCCAGAGCAAAACCCAGCAAAGGUACCACUGGCCACAGAGGUUUCUGGAUGGCCAAGUGACACUCCAAGGAUCCCAUAACGCUAUGUGCUUGUUCAACCCUGGAUCCAAAUAUGCUCCAGAAGAU
rnacentral:lncRNA from 10 species